CCUACGGGACGCACCAGUGGGGAAUAUUGCACAAUGGGCGCAAGCCUGAUGCAGCCACGCCGCGUGUAUGAAGAAGGCCUUCGGGUUGUAAAGUACUUUCAGCGGGGAGGAAGGCGAUAAGGUUAAUAACCUUGUCGAUUGACGUUACCCGCAGAAGAAGCACCGGCUAACUCCGUGCCAGCAGCCGCGCUAAUAGGGAGGGUGCAAGCGUUAAUCGGAAUUACUGAGCGUAAAGCGCACGCAGGCGGUCUGUCAAGUCGGAUGUGAAAUCCCCGGGCUCAACCUGGGAACUGCAAUCGAAACUGGCAGGCUAGAGUCUUGUAGAGGGGGGUAGAAUUCCAGGUGUAGCGGUGAAAUGCGUAGAGAUCUGGAGGAAUACCGGUGGCGAAGGCGGCCCCCUGGACAAAGACAGACGCUCAGGUGCGGAAGCGUGGGGAGCAAACAGGAUUAGAUACCCUUGUAGUC
rnacentral:rRNA from 1 species